GACGAACGCUGGCGGCGUGCUUAACACAUGCAAGUCGAACGGAAAGACCUCUUUCGUGGUGUCCUCAUGUGGCGAACGGGCGAGUAACACGUACGUAACCUGCCCAUCUAUUUGGCUUAACUUCAGGCAAGUGGCCGUAAUACCUACCAGGAACUCCUUUUACAUGCAUGGGUCAGAAAUGUUUCGGCGGUUUGCGGUGGCCUCGCGGUUCAUCAGCUAGUUGGUUGGGUAUUGGCUUACCAAGGCUGUGACGCAUCGCCGACCUGAGAGGGUGAUCGGCCACACUGGAACUGAGACACGGUCCAGACUCCUACGGGAGGCAGCAGUAGGGAAUCUUCCGCAAUGGGCGGAAGCCUGACGGAGCGACGCCGCGUGAGUGAUGAAGGUCUUCGGAUCGUAAAACUCUGUUAUUAGGGAAGAACAUAUGUGUAAGUAACUGUGCACAUCUUGACGGUACCUAAUCAGAAAGCCACGGCUAACUACGUG
rnacentral:rRNA from 1 species